rnacentral:rRNA from 1 species
UACGUAGGGUGCAAGCGUUAAUCGGAAUUACUGGGCGUAAAGCGUGCGCAGGCGGUUAUGUAAGACAGAUGUGAAAUCCCCGGGCUUAACCUGGGAACUGCAUUUGUGACUGCAUAGCUAGAGUACGGUAGAGGGGGAUGGAAUUCCGCGUGUAGCAGUGAAAUGCGUAGAUAUGCGGAGGAACACCGAUGGCGAAGGCGGUCACCUGGCCCGUAACUGACGCUGAGGCACGAAAGCGUGGGGAUCAAACAGG